rnacentral:lncRNA from 1 species
AAUACCUAUUCUGAUUUUAAUAUAGUGAUGUGUUUACACAGUCUCGUGUACAGACUGCAAAUUGUAAACAAUCGACUUUAUCCAAACUUUACACUCGACCCGUUUCGUAGCAUUGCUCUAAUGCAGUGAAAAAUCCGGUCAGCUGAGCGUGAAAAAAGAAAUAAACAUCCGUUUAAAUAUAUAUCUUUUUAAAAACGUAGCACUCACGUAACAUGUCCGAUUUUGACAGCUAAAUUCUGCCUUUCCUCGGACCCGAUUUAAUGUUUGAAAAUGGCGGCUAAACAAAGGUCAUUUUCUAUGUCGUCGUAUUUCCAGACUCGUAAGCUGUAAAAAUGACGAAAACGUGCAUAUCAGAAACUUGGCAGAAGCGCUGUAUUCUGAUUUACAUUAAAUUAAUCGUAUAUCGAUAUUCCGAAAACAAAUAAUGUCUUUUAUAAAACAUAAGGAUUUUCAACAGUAAACUGUUAAAAAUCCUUGCCGACGAG